AUACUCCUACGGGAGGCAGCAGUAGGGAAUCUUCCACAAUGGGCGCAAGCCUGAUGGAGCAACACCGCGUGAGUGAAGAAGGGUUUCGGCUCGUAAAGCUCUGUUGUUGGAGAAGAACGUGCGUGAGAGUAACUGUUCACGCAGUGACGGUAUCCAACCAGAAAGUCACGGCUAACUACGUGCCAGCAGCCGCGGUAAUACGUAGGUGGCAAGCGUUAUCCGGAUUUAUUGGGCGUAAAGCGAGCGCAGGCGGUUGCUUAGGUCUGAUGUGAAAGCCUUCGGCUUAACCGAAGAAGUGCAUCGGAAACCGGGCGACUUGAGUGCAGAAGAGGACAGUGGAACUCCAUGUGUAGCGGUGGAAUGCGUAGAUAUAUGGAAGAACACCAGUGGCGAAGGCGGCUGUCUGGUCUGCAACUGACGCUGAGGCUCGAAAGCAUGGGUAGCGAACAGGAUUAGAUACCCUGG
rnacentral:rRNA from 1 species